UCUAGGGCGUUGUUUGCAGCUGCCGCCCAGCCGCCGGCUGCCCGGCUGCCGCUGCCGCUCGCUCACCACGCCACCACCCCUACCCUAUCGGCUGUGUUAAUCUGUCACCUUUGUCCGUUGUUUGUCCAGUGUCUAAGGAGUAAGGCAGGAAGAGGAGGAUUCAUUAGAUCAGAGUUUUACCGGGAGAAACGAAGAUCAGAUAGAAGAAGGAUAUUGGAUUGGCACAAUUUAGCAACUGAACAAACAUUCAAGGAAAUUGGCUCUGCCGUACAUCCUUGCUACUUCACGCUUUUCCUGCAUAUUUUGGCGAUCAAUUCCGGAUCAGAUCAGAGGCGACGUUGGCGUGAUCAUGAGCUCGUUAAUUCUCCGGCCAACUAGCCAAGGCUGUUCCUACUUCAAAGGGCCAGGCCCUGGCCGAUGAAUAUGGGAUUCAGUUCUUUGAACCG